GACGAACGCUGGCGGCGUGCUUAACACAUGCAAGUCGAACGAUGAAGCCGGAGCUUGCUCCGGUGGAUUAGCGGCGAACGGGUGAGUAACACGUGAGCAAUCUGCCCUUGACUCUGGGAUAACUGCGGGAAACUGUAGCUAAUACCGGAUACGACACCUUGGGGCAUCCCAGGGUGUGGAAAGAAUUUCGGUCAAGGAUGAGCUCGCGGCCUAUCAGCUAGUUGGUGAGGUAAUGGCUCACCAAGGCGACGACGGGUAGCCGGCCUGAGAGGGUGACCGGCCACACUGGAACUGAGACACGGUCCAGACUCCUACGGGAGGCAGCAGUGGGGAAUAUUGCACAAUGGGUGAAAGCCUGAUGCAGCAACGCCGCGUGAGGGAUGAAGGCCUUCGGGUUGUAAACCUCUUUUAGCAGGGAAGAAGCGAAAGUGACGGUACCUGCAGAAAAAGCACCGGCUAACUACGUGCCAGCCGCCGCGGUAA
rnacentral:rRNA from 1 species